rnacentral:rRNA from 1 species
UACAGAGGGGGCAAGCGUUAUUCGGAAUUAUUGGGCGUAAAGGGCGCGUAGGCGGCUUGGCAAGUGGAAGGUGAAAUCCCUCGGCUUAACCGAGGAACUGCCCUCCAAACUGCUUCGCUUGAGACCGGGAGAGGUGAGUGGAAUUCCCAGUGUAGCGGUGAAAUGCGUAGAUAUUGGGAGGAACACCAGUGGCGAAGGCGGCUCACUGGACCGGUACUGACUCUGAUGCGCGAAAGCGUGGGGAGCAAACGGG